rnacentral:rRNA from 1 species
UACAGAGGGUGCGAGCGUUGUCCGGAAUCACUGGGCGUAAAGGGCGCGUAGGUGGUGGCUUAAGCGUGCGGUGAAAGCUCGGGGCUCAACUCCAAGUCGGCCGUGCGAACUGGGCUCACUGGAGCAUAGUAGAGGCAGGUGGAAUUCCGGGUGUAGCGGUGGAAUGCGUAGAGAUCCGGAAGAACACCGGUGGCGAAGGCGGCCUGCUGGGCUAUGGCUGACACUGAGGCGCGACAGCGUGGGGAGCAAACAGG